GACGUAGGGCGCGAGCGUGUCCGGAUUUAUUGGGCGUAAAGAGCUCGUAGGCGGCUUGUCGCGUCGAAUGUGAAAACCCACGGCUCAACUGUGGGCUUGCAUUCGAUACGGGCAGGCUAGAGUUCGGUAGGGGAGACGUGGAAUUCCUGGUGUAGCGGUGAAAUGCGCAGAUAUCAGGAGGAACACCGGUGGCGAAGGCGGGUCUCUGGGCCGAUACUGACGCUGAGGAGCGAAAGCGUGGGGAGCGAACAGG
rnacentral:rRNA from 1 species